rnacentral:rRNA from 1 species
GGUCGUAGUUCGGACUGGAGUCUGCAACCCGACUCCACGAAGUUGGAUUCGCUAGUAAUCGCGCAUCAGCCAUGGCGCGGUGAAUACGUUCCCGGGCCUUGUACACACCGCCCGUCAAGCCAUGGAAGCCGGGAGUACCUGAAGAUCGUGACCGCGAGGAACGGGCUAGGGUAAUACCGGUAACUGGGGCUAAGUCGUAACAAGGUAAC